CCUGGUUUCCCCAAAACACGAAACGAGAACGGAGGACGACGACGAGUUCGUUGGCCAUUGCCUUGCGCUCCUAGUUUAAUGCGGCCCAUUGCGGGCGGCGACGACCGCGACGCCCCGAUCGUGCGCGCGACGAGUGGAGGCCGUGUGGUGUUUGACCCGCGCCCCAGAUCAUGGAGAAGGACAGCGGCGGCGGUGGAGGUAGGGGCGCGGGCGGGAGGGAGAUGGACUCGCCGCGGUUCCGGGCGAUCCUGCGGGUGACGAGCGGCGGGCGGAGGAAGCGCGCGCCGGAAGUCAAGAGCUUCUCGCACGAGCUCAACCCGUGCGGCGGCGGCGGGUCGGCGUACUUCCACCCGAUGCGGCACAUGACGCGCGGCGGGGUCGGCGGCGGUGGUCUCGGCGGUGGCGGCGGGUGCGGGCCCGGACCCGCGCCUGGGCCCCAGGAGUUCAUCGGCGCCGUCAGGACCAAGUUCAUCAAGCUCAAGGAGGAGGUGGACUGCGAGCUGGGCGUCUUCGCCGGCGACCUCGUCGGCCUCCUCGAGAGAACCGCCGCCGCUGCCGAGGACGCGGAGGCGGAGGCGGAGGAGGAGGAUCGGGACAGCCAGGACUGGCGCGUCACGCUCGAGGACCUCCUGGUCGUCGCGCAGAAGUGCGCCGAGAUGAGCCCCGAGGAGCUCUGGGUCAAGUGCGAGGGCAUCGUGCAGGCGCUCGACGACCGCCGGCAGGAGCUCACCACGGGGUUGCUCAAGCAGGCGCACACCCGCGUCCUCUUCAUCCUCACCCGCUGCACGCGCCUCCUCCAGUUCCGCAAGGAGUGCGCCGGCGGCGGCGGCGACGACAGGCAGCACGUGCUCGGGCUGCACCAGCUCAGCGACCUGGGGCUGUACCCGUUCCAGGCCGGCGACGGCGGGUCCACGGACCUGGGGCGCAGGAGCACGUCCAGCCUGACCGAGCUCAAGGAGCGGCUCAUAAGGCGGAGGAUGCUGGAGCACAAGCACCUUACCAUCGACUUCCCCGGCAGGCACGGGCACUUCUCAGGAUCAGAGCCCAGCGAUUCUCCUAGCAGCGGCAAGAUUUCGUCCUGGAAGAAGCUGCCAUCGCCUGCUGAGAAGAACCGGUGUAAGAACCCGGAGGCGAAUAAGGAGGACAAGGUCACCCCGACGAAGAAGAAGGCGAUAACCAGGAACAAGAUCGACGUGGAUGAGAUUGUUGAGAGGAUUGACGCGGCUAGCAUUCACCCGGACGGCCUGGCUUGUCUCGGGGACUCGGCCGUCAAGAUCGAGAUUUCGCCCGAGUAUCCAGGAGCCCAGCAAAUAAUCGUCGAUGGGAAGCCGAGGAUGAUAUGCAGGAUCUGCGAUUUUGAGAUCCCAAUGUCAUGCGCGGAAGGCCAUUUCAUAGCAUGCACGCUAGCUGAUCGCUGCGAUUCCAAGGGCUUGAGUACCGACAAGCGGCUGCAGAGGGUUGCUGAGGUGCUUGAGAGGAUCCUUGCUUGCUUUGAAGCAAAGAGCCCACAUGAUGGGGAAUUUAAUCAUCCUGAGAACGCAAGAGUUAGCACGUCGAGUUUAACCGGAGAAGAAUAUGAUGGAUCCACGGAUCAUGAUAAUGAUUUGUCUCACCUAUUGACAAUGCCGUCGGCAGAGUUGUUUUCAGAAGGAGCACUGACACCAGGAUCAGGAAGCUUGUCACAGUCACCAUUACUGACACCAAGAACAAGCCACGCAGAGUCACAACUGACUAAACACAAGGCGUUCGUGGAACUAGAGAAUUUUCAGCAGGUUGAAAGUUUACUGACUAUCUCUAGAGGCAUUGAGAGCAUAAAAAGUUCAGAAUACAACUCACUGGAGGACUUGAGCUCUUACCUUGAAGACCUGAACGCUGUUAUUGACACGAGAAAAGUGGAUGCCCUUGUAGUGGAGACAUUUGGAAGAAGGAUAGCCAAGUUACUACAGGAGAAAUUUAUGCAACUGUGUGGACAAAUAGAUGAUAUGAGCAACGAUUCAUUAGGUCCAAUAGAUGAAGAUGGUCCUAUGGAGAAUAGUGUAAGCUCGAGAACAAGCCAGAUGAAUGGAAAAUUUAAAGAUCGUACCUCAAUUGAGGACUUUGAAAUUAUAAAGCCAAUCAGCCGUGGUGCCUUUGGACGCGUAUUUCUUGCAAGGAAAAGGGUAACAGGAGACCUUUUUGCCAUCAAGGUGCUCAAGAAAGCUGAUAUGAUCCGCAAGAAUGCAGUUGAAAGCAUCUUGGCAGAGCGUGACAUCUUAAUAUCUGUCCGUAACCCAUUUGUGGUUCGAUUUUUCUACUCCUUCACAUGUAGGGAAAACCUUUAUCUUGUUAUGGAGUACUUGAAUGGAGGAGACCUCUAUUCCCUCUUGAGAGGCUUAGGUUGUUUAGAUGAAGAUAUGGCACGGACAUAUAUAGCAGAACUGGUUCUUGCAUUGGAGUAUCUGCAUUCUUUGAAUGUGAUUCACCGUGAUUUGAAGCCCGACAACUUGUUAAUUUCUCGUGAUGGCCAUAUAAAGUUGACUGAUUUUGGGCUAUCAAAGGUUGGUCUUAUAAAUAGCACAGAUGAUUUAUCUGGUCCAGAUGUCAGCAGUGUUCUAGUUGGUGACCAUCAACCAACAGAUGCAGAACAACGUGCACACAAGCGAGAGCAGAGGCAAAAGCAGACAGCUGUGGGCACUCCUGACUAUUUGGCCCCUGAGAUACUACUAGGGAUGGCCCAUGGUCCAACAGCGGAUUGGUGGUCAGUUGGUGUCAUUCUCUUUGAGAUUCUUGUAGGAAUUCCCCCAUUCAAUGCUGAGCAUCCACAGAUAAUAUUUGACAAUAUAAUGAAUCGGGAAAUACCUUGGCCACAAGUACCAGAUGAAUUGAGUUUCGAAGCAUACGACUUGAUUGACAAGUUGCUAAUUGAGAACCCGGUACAAAGAUUAGGUGCGACUGGUGCUGGAGAGGUAAAGGCCCAUCCGUUCUUUAAAGGCAUCAACUGGAAUAUGAUUGCUAGACAACAGGCUGCGUUUAUUCCUUGCACAGACGAUGAAUGUGAUACGAGUUAUUUUGCCUGCCGUCAUGCAUGGGGCGCUGCUGAUGAUCAAGUCAAUGCAGCCCACAACGAGUACGAUGACAGAAGUGAGACUAGUAGCAUGAGUUGUGGCAGCAGUCAGCAUAGUUGUGAUUACGAAGAUGGCGACGAAUGUGGUAGCAUGGAAGAGUUUGGAGCUCCGCCAUUGUCAGUGAAGUACUCUUUCAGCAACUUCUCAUUCAAGAACAUUUCUCAGCUAGCGUCAAUGAACUACGAUCUGAUAACGAAGCACAACGAGGAUCCUUUACAGUCUUCGAAAUCUUGAGACCGCCACGCCAGAUCAAUUCCCUCGACAGGAUAGCUCAGGUCUCAGCGUGCAGGAAAGCGGGACCUGCUCGGCUACGCUUGGACCGUUGGUAGUAACAAGCGGUGUGAUGCCAAGUGCAGCAUAGGAAGUGAACCUGUGUGUUUCCUCUGGAACUAGAUGAUCGAACAGCAGCUGAGCAAAUAGAAGCUCGCUUUUGUACAGGGAUCGAAGCACUUGACCUGCAGUUUCCUUACAGAAGGGAUGAGAAGCUAGCAGGGUUGCAGUGUCAUUUAGGCUAAGCGAAACGUCGUCUCUCUCGCUGUCGCUGGUUGUAUUUAGGAGCAAUUCGCCAAAGAGUUGUGCAUCUUAUAGUUGUUGGUUUAGACAAUAUACCUUCUGAAAUAGGCAGAGCUGUAAAUUCGCCUCAGAAACAGAAUCGCUGCGAAACCAUGGCAGACUAGAUUGUUUCUGUACUAUACAGAAUUCAAACCAAUUUGCAAGCAUUUUUGUUUUGUUUUU